rnacentral:rRNA from 1 species
CGCGUAGGCGGUUUUGUAAGUCGGAUGUGAAAUCCCCGGGCUUAACCUGGGAACUGCAUUCGAUACUGCAUAACUAGAGUAUGGUAGAGGGAAGUGGAAUUCCGGGUGUAGCGGUGAAAUGCGUAGAUAUCCGGAGGAACACCGGUGGCGAAGGCGACUUCCUGGGCCAAUACUGACGCUGAGGUGCGAAAGCGUGGGGAGCAAACA